rnacentral:rRNA from 1 species
AGCAGCCGCGGUAAUUCCAGCUCCAAUAGCGUAUAUUAAAGUUGUUGCAGUUAAAAAGCUCGUAGUUGAAUUUCGGGAUCAGUGGGUCGGUCGUGCCACUGGUAUGCACUGGCCCUACUGGUUCCUCCUUCUUGAAGAACUGUAAUGCCAUUAAUUUGGUGUUGCAGGGAAACAGGACUGUUACUUUGAAAAAAUUAGAGUGUUUAAAGCAGGCAAUCGCUUGAAUACAUUAGCAUGGAAUAAUGAAAUAGGACGAUCGAUCCUAUUUUGUUGGUUUCUAGGAUUGACGUAAUGAUUAAUAGGGAUAGUUGGGGGCAUUAGUAUUCAAUUGUCAGAGGUGAAAUUCUUGGAUUUAUUGAAGACUAACUACUGCGAAAGCAUUUGCCAAGGAUGUUUUCAUUAAUCAAGAACGAAAGUUAGGGGAUCGAAGACGAUCAGAUACCGUCGUAGUCCUAACCAUAAACUAUGCCGACUAGGGAUCGGAUGAUGUUAAUUUUUAAUGACUCA